CGACCGUUGCGCGUAUCGAGAGGAUCUCUCCUCAGAGUCGAGUUGCUUGAGAGUGCAGCUCUAAGUGGGUGGUAAACUCCAUCUAAGGCUAAAUAUGACCACGAGACCGAUACCGAACAAGUACCGUGAGGGAAAGUUGAAAAGAACUUUGAAGAAAGAGUUCAAGAGUACGUGAAACCGUUCAGGGGUAAACCUGAGAAACCCGAAAGCGACACGCCGUCGGUUUAUAUGUCAGGCGGCGUUGGCAUGCACUUCUCUCUCAGUAGGACGUCGCGACCCGUUUGGUGUCGAUCUACGACCGCGGCGGUAGCCUGUCACGAAUUUAUUCGCGCCAGACCCCGCGUGCUCCGAGUACUGCCAGACGGUAUAAAUGAUACGGUAUAGGGUCGCUUUUAAGCGUUCGGCCGGUUGCAAGCACGGACGGUUAUUGGCCGUCGGACCUAGUCCGGCAUCGAUGCCGCCUCGAGCUGUUAGCUACCGUGUUCUCGAACGGACUCUAUUACCGGUCAGCGAUGCUAUUGCUUUGGGUACUUUCAGGACCCGUUUUGAAACACGGACCAAGAAGUCUAGCAUGUGCGCGAGUCAUUGGGAAAUACAAAACCUAAAGGCGCAAUGAACGUAAAGGUUUGCUUAAGUAAACUGAGGGAUGACGGACCGCAUCUACGGAUGCGUGCUUGCAAUCCCGAGGCGUCUCACUCUCAUUGCGAGAAGAGACGCACUCAGAGCGUACACGCUAGGACCCGAAAGAUGGUGGACUAUGCCCGGUCAGGUCGAAGUCAGGGGAAACCCUGAUGGAGGACCGUAGCGAUUCUGAUGUGCAAAUCGAUCGUCGGAACUGGGUAUAGGGGCGAAAGACUAAUCAAACCAUCUAGUAGCUGGUUCCCUCCGAAGUUUCCCUCAGGAUAGCUGGCAUUCGAUGAGCGAGUCUCAUUCGGUAAAGCGAAUGAUUAGAGGCCUUGGGGCCGAAACGACCUCAACCUAUUCUCAAACUUUAAAUGGGUGAGAUCUCUGGCUUGCUUGAAUAGUGAAGCCAGAGAUUUGGAUCAGAGUGCCUAGUGGGCCAUUUUUGGUAAGCAGAACUGGCGCUGUGGGAUGAACCAAACGCCGAGUUAAGGCGCCUAAACGACGCUAAUGGGAUACCAUGAAAGGCGUUGGUUGCUUAAGACAGCAGGACGGUGGCCAUGGAAGUUGGAAUCCGCUAAGGAGUGUGUAACAACUCACCUGCCGAAGCAACUAGCCCUGAAAAUGGAUGGCGCUGAAGCGUCGUGCCUAUACUCGGCCGCCAGGGCAUGAGAAACGUUCAUAAUAGUUCGUUUUGACGCUCUGGUGAGUAGGAGGGUCGCGGUGGUGUGCGCAGAAGGGUUUGGGCGUAAGCCUGCCUGGAGCAGCCAUCGGUGCAGAUCUUGGUGAUAGUAGCAACUACUCCAGCGAGGCCCUGGAGGACUGACGUGGAGAAGGGUUUCGUGUGAACAGCCGUUGCACACGAGUCAGUCGAUCCUAAGCCCCAGGAGAAAUCCUAUGUUGAUGUUGGUGUAUUUUAUUUUGAAUAAAAUUUCACACCCAUCGGGCGAAAGGGAAUCCGGUUCCUAUUCCGGAACCCGGCAGCGAAACCGUUUACAAGUCGGGCCCUCGCAAGAGAGUUCGUCGGGGUAACCCAAAAUGACCUGGAGACGCCGUCGGGAAAUACGGGAAGAGUUUUGUUUUCUGUAUGAGCGUUCGAGUUCCCUGGAAUCCUCUAGAAGGGAGAUAGAGUUUGGAACGCGAAGAGCACCGCUGUUGCGGCGUUGUCCGUAUCUUCCCCUCGGACCUUGAAAAUCCAGGAGAGGGCCACGGUAGGUGUCGCGCCGGUUCGUACCCAUAUCCGCAACAGGCCUCCAAGGUGAAGAGCCUCUAGUCAAUAGAUAAAUGUAGGUAAGGGAAGUCGGCAAAUUAUAUCCGUUACUUCGGGAUAAGGAUUGGCUCUGAGGAUCGGGGCGUGCCGGGCUUGGUUGGGAAGCGGGCGUAGGCCGAUGUGCCGGGCCUGGGCGGGGUGAAAUUGUCCUUGUAACUUAGAUCCGAGCUCGGUCCCGUGUCUAGGCCCCCCGCGAAUCUUUAUUGCUGCGAGGCUUCUGUGCCGGCUUCGGUCGGUCAGCCGUACUCUUCGGCCGCCAUUCACCGGUCAGCUCAGAACUGGCACGGACUAGGGGAAUCCGACUGUCUAAUUAAAACAAAGCAUUGCGAUGGCCCUAGCGGGUGUUGACGCAAUGUGAUUUCUGCCUAGUGCUCUGAAUGUCAACGUGAAGAAAUUCAAGCAAGCGCGGGUAAACGACGGGAGUAACUAUGACUCUCUUUCGACAUAGCACUCUGGUCUCGAGGAAAUCAUGCGCUAAAUAACUCGCGACUGGUCGAAAACCAGGAAGUAUCCCGACACUGGGACAGAUUUAGCCAAAUGCCUCGUCAUCUAACUAGUGACGCGAAUGAAUGGAUUAACGAGAUUCCCACUGUCCCUAUCUACUCCGCCUGCAGACGUAUCCUUGCGCGCUGCUGCCGGUCCUAAGCCCGGGUAAAGGAGGAAGGUUAUGGGGCAAGAACAUCUUUGAUCCCCACAUAAAAGCAAGCACAUACCGCAAGCUCUAGGUCAUGUCUCUGGAGAACGGGGUCCUUGGCUUAAUCGCCCGGGUCACGAGGAAGGAUCCUCUAUAAAAAAACACCCUCAACUCUAAGGUAGGGUGCGCGCCGACGGAGUGAAUGGCUGUGAGGAAAUACAGCCCUGAGCGACCAACUCCGAGGCA
rnacentral:rRNA from 1 species